rnacentral:rRNA from 1 species
GAUGAACGCUGGCGGCGUGCUUAACACAUGCAAGUCGAACGGUGAAGGCGGAGCUUGCUCUGCUGGAUCAGUGGCGAACGGGUGAGUAACACGUGAGCAAUCUGCCCCUGACUCUGGGAUAAGCGCUGGAAACGGCGUCUAAUACUGGAUACGAGCUGCGAAGGCAUCUUCAGCAGCUGGAAAGAAUUUCGGUCAGGGAUGAGCUCGCGGCCUAUCAGCUUGUUGGUGAGGUAAUGGCUCACCAAGGCGUCGACGGGUAGCCGGCCUGAGAGGGUGACCGGCCACGCUGGGACUGAGACACGGCCCAGACUCCUACGGGAGGCAGCAGUGGGGAAUAUUGCACAAUGGGCGAAAGCCUGAUGCAGCAACGCCGCGUGAGGGACGACGGCCCUCGGGUUGUAAACCUCUUUUAGCAGGGAAGAAGCGAAAGUGACGGUACCUGCAGAAAAAGCGCCGGCUAACUACGUG